GAUGAACGCUGGCGGCGUGCCUAAUACAUGCAAGUCGAGCGAACCGACGAGAAGCUUGUUUCUCUGAUGUUAGCGGCGGACGGGUGAGUAACACGUGGAUAACCUACCUAUAAGACUGGGAUAACUUCGGGAAACCGGAGCUAAUACCGGAUAAUAUUUUGAACCGCAUGGUUCAAAAGUAAAAGACGGUCUUGCUGUCACUUAUAGAUGGAUCCGCGCUGCAUUAGCUAGUUGGUAAGGUAACGGCUUACCAAGGCAACGAUGCAUAGCCGACCUGAGAGGGUGAUCGGCCACACUGGAACUGAGACACGGUCCAGACUCCUACGGGAGGCAGCAGUAGGGAAUCUUCCGCAAUGGGCGAAAGCCUGACGGAGCAACGCCGCGUGAGUGAUGAAGGUCUUCGGAUCGUAAAACUCUGUUAUUAGGGAAGAACAUAUGUGUAAGUAACUGUGCACAUCUUGACGGUACCUAAUCAGAAAGCCACGGCUAACUACGUG
rnacentral:rRNA from 1 species